UUUAGUUAUUUUUGUAAUGUUUCCCCCCUCUUUAUAUAUAUAUAUAUAUAUAUUUUAUCUCGACCUUUGCGCCUUCCGUCAUUGAACAGUCUCGAAAAUAAUGCAGCGCAUGUUUUUUCUAUAUCAUCAAGUUAACAGCUAACUAUCAUAACCCAUAGUUUGUGUUGCAGGAUUAAAAGGUCGUUAAUAUGCCACAUAAAAUGAGUAGAAAAACAUGGCGAUCGCUGCGCGGUAUCCUAGGGUGGCAGCGCCUCUUGCGGGGGGGGGGGCACCAGAAACAGAGGGGUCAGUCGGCUCUCUUUGAUCUCGGCGCCGUGGAGCAGGCAAUUCUGAAAUUUAGGAGGCUAUGGUACUGUAAAGCAGCAGGCAAGCUGCUAAUAUUGUCAGCUGAAUUUGAAAGCUUAUUCCGAAAGAUAUCCACGUUGCAAAUUUUAUGUGCGACUGAAAACUCUAAAUAUUUUUAAUCACGACUAAAAUUGCGGUGAAAAGACGCAGCGCGCCGCCUGGUGGGCAACAACCGCCCAUUCUACGAGCAACAGUGUUAAAUGUCCCCAACCCUCUAUCGGCUAAAUCAUUGGCUAAGUAGCCGGCUUCUUGAACUGUCUUUCAAAAGUUUGUUCAAAUGAGGUAGUUCCUGACACAUAUUCUCUCAAAAUGCAAGCGCAUUGGUACAUCGUGGUAAUGAAUAGUGAGCAGAUUCACUGUGAGAGUGACCUACGCAAAAAUGCACCACGUCCAGCGAGCCGGCGUGAUGAUGAUAGCGGUCCCCAGAUAUCGCUGUACGCUUCAAUUGUUAUUGGCAUUUUAUGUUCGCUGCGCUACAUUGCAGGAACUGCGGAGUUCGUGUCGGGUCUUAGGCACAGGGUUGCCCGUAAUAUUAAAUUCGAAUUUCCUAAAAAACAACAGGUGGACUUGAACGAAAUUUGUGGCGAAAUUUGUAUAAUGAGCACCCUGGCUGUCAAAUGUACCAGUAGUAUAAAAUUGUAUGCCUGCUGCUUUACGGUACCUUUAUUCGUCCUGUGUAAAAGGUGCCGCAUCACCAUCGAGUGCCAAUCGUACCUGCUCCAUGCUGUGAUAAGAAUGACAGGAGACAGGGCAAUUCGGCAAUGACCCAGAUACAAGCCGAGCAAGGACAUCCUAUUCGCAGCCCUCUCAAACAGAAGGGCUCAAAAGCAGAGUUGUACGUAACGCGUUACUAGUAAUUUGGUUAUUAGUAACCAAUUACUUUUUUCAGUAAUUAUUAACGUAAUCGAUUAAGUUUGUGAGCAAGUAAUUUUCCAAGUAAUGUGGUUACAAUUUUCGGUAAUCAAUUACUGAGUAAUCGAUUACUUUUUAAAUCUUCUGUCAACAAUGGCAAGGCCAUCUGUUCUUCUGUUCCACCACGAGUUCGACUGAAGCAAUGACGCAGAGGUCACCGUGACGGCCGUCUCUAGUCCACACGUGUUCCAUGCACACCACAGUAAUAUGAUAAUCCCUUACAACAGCGGCCUACUGGAGCAACAGUGAAAUACGUGGCUGUAUUGAUAAAUUGUGCGGGCUGAACAUAACAACAGUAACAAAACGAAGCGGAUGUUUCGAAGUUGUUUUAAGUGUGUAUAUAAAUCUGUAAUCAACGCGUGUAUGUGUUUUGUACGUUGAUUUCAAAUGUAUUUGUGAACUUCACUUAUCAUGUAUGUUGGUGUCUCGUAUUAGAAUUUGCAGCAAGAGAUGCAUGGCUGCAUUUACUGCGGGGGGGGGGGGUAUAUGUUUAUUAAGAAAAAAAGAACGAAAGGGAAGGUUAGCGCAGCUUGUUAGCUUUGGUAUGGCACACAAUUUAAAGGUAACGCGUUACAUUUUUCAUCGGUAACGUAUUACAUUUUUGAUGAAGUAAUUUGUAACGGUAAAUAAUUCCUUUUCGCGCAGUAGUAACAGUAAUUGUAAUCAAUUACUUUUUUCUAGUAACGUGUACAACUCUGCUCAAAAGGAACACAAAUGCAACGGGUUAUUAACCAGUCGUGAUACCUUUUGUUAACUUCGUCCUGGAAGUUUAAAGUGGAGGGCCCCUAAAACGCCUGAUGCAGGGUACCGCGAAUUUAAGGUCCCGCGAACAAUUGCCAGGUCCUUGCUCCUCACAAAUUCACGAAUUAGUGAGCCCGUGAGCUUAGCCACUUAUACAGUAAAUGAGAGCUGGAAAGAGAGAAGCAAGGGAAAAAGCAGAAAAUUUCUCGAGUUGUUCUAGCAUUUCGCUUCAAAUUCAGAAUGAAGACAAGAAAGCGAUAAUUUUUCAGGGAACUAUGCACGACCAUGAAAGUCUACUGGAGGCUGUGGUUUGUACUAAAUUUGUAUUUUCGUUGACGAACUAUGGACCGCAGGAACUUUUGACGCCUUGCACAAACAAUGUGCGAAAAAAAAAAAAGAACAAGGAACCGAUAUCAGGAUCAGCUGCUGUCUCUAGCUUUCCAUGUCAGGUAGAGCUGGAAGACGUGGUAUACUGAAAGAAACAAUGGUAACGCAAUGGGGGCGUCGUCUUCUAAGUGCGCUGUAUUGCCCAACUGGUUCCCAGUCGUGUAGGAGAGGAGGAGGUAGAGAGGAAGAGAACAUAAGAUCGUCCCUCGACGGUGCCCUGAUCUUUUCCCGACUGACGGUUAUGUGACCAGGAAUAUAGGAUCGUACCAUCGUACCCCGAUGCUGCUCCCCGACUGCAAGGCACUGACUGUAGCAAUGACGUGACCCACAGUUCCGAAUCUGGCCAAUGAUGUGGCCCGAUCAGUCGGCCGUAUUUGCAGGUUCGGAGACCCCGUCGGCCUCCUGAUUGUCAGUAGCAAUCUGUACGCUGCUGUGCCUCCGAAACUUUCAAGAUGGCGUAUAUGCAGGGAUGCUGGUGGAAGAACUCGAUUAUGAAAAAGCCUGAGUCUGGGGGGACGACACGAGUCAUUUUUGAGUCGUAUGUUCGUGUCAUCCCUCUGUGUGCCCAGACUCAGGCUUUUACAUAAAGGGCUCCGACACUUUCGAGGGACUUCGACAUUUCUGAGGCGAUUCAUCGCCAGGUUGACUGUGCGCUGCAGCUGUCCUUCCAACUACUGCGUGCUUACAAAACUGGAAGCCUGGACAUCUUCAGCUCGAGAGUGUCACACUGGACACACUACCAUGACGUGCGAAAAGAAAUCAAUGCCCUGGUGGAGGAUAUCGUUGAAGAGGACACCACAACAUUUCUGCCUCAGAGCCUUCGUUUAUGUGAUGAUUGUCAAGAUUUUCUAACAGAUCUUGUCACGCCAUCGUAACAACGGCAAGUCUAUUUGCUCUGUAUGUAUUCGUAGUAAUUCACAUCCCCAUUUUUUUCUUUAUCACAUCACCAUUACCAUCUGUAUCCAAUAGUACGUGCAGCGAUCUUGCUCAUGCAGAAUCCAGCCUACACUUCGGUCACAGACCUAUGAACCUAUCUCGCCGUGAUGUUUGCCUGAAGAAAGGAAAAGUACACAUGCGAGCUGGUGUAACGUUGAACUCCUGUCUACUUCGUUUCCCUCAUGCCAAAGAUGAUGCUUCCCACUUCAGUGUUUGCUUGCAAGAAGUAGGAUCUGAAGUGCUACAAGCAAGAUACAGAGAUGUCACCCAAUAAGAAAUCUACUGCCAGCUAGCCGCUAGUUUGAGGCAUUGGGGAUAAAGACGGUGACCAGGAGGCUCACAGAAGACAACCCCUGCUGCAGCGCCAUGGGCUCGCAUUUAUAAAAGAAACCCCUGUGUUGUAUUGCUGACAAAUGUUACUCUAUGUAGGACUUGGUUUCAUAAUGAGGGCUCUUUAUCUCUCUUGCAAGUUCACACCUAUUUUGAG